rnacentral:rRNA from 1 species
GACGAACGCUGGCGGCGUGCUUAACACAUGCAAGUCGAACGGAAAGGCCCUGCUUUUGUGGGGUGCUCGAGUGGCGAACGGGUGAGUAACACGUGAGUAACCUGCCCUUGACUUUGGGAUAACUUCGGGAAACUGGGGCUAAUACCGGAUAGGAGCUCCUGCUGCAUGGUGGGGGUUGGAAAGUUUCGGCGGUUGGGGAUGGACUCGCGGCUUAUCAGCUUGUUGGUGGGGUAGUGGCUUACCACGUCUUCGACGGGUAGCCGGCCUGAGAGGGUGGCCGGCCACAUUGGGACUGCGAGACGGCCCAGUCUCCUACGGGAGGCAGCAGUGGAGAAUAUUGCACAGUGGGCGGAAGCCUGAUGCGACAACGCCGCGUGCGGGAUGACGGCCUUCGGGUUGUAAACCGCUUUCGCCUGUGACGAAGCGUGAGUGACGGUAAUGGGUAAAGAAGCACCGGCUAACUACGUG